UGACGGCCUUCGGGUUGUAAACCUCUUUCAGCAGGGAAGAAGCGAAAGUGACGGUACCUGCAGAAGAAGCACCGGCUAACUACGUGCCAGCAGCCGCGGUAAUACGUAGGGUGCGAGCGUUGUCCGGAAUUAUUGGGCGUAAAGAGCUUGUAGGCGGUUUGUCGCGUCUGCUGUGAAAAUCCGGGGCUCAACCCCGGACUUGCAGUGGGUACGGGCAGACUAGAGUGUGGUAGGGGAGACUGGAAUUCCUGGUGUAGCGGUGGAAUGCGCAGAUAUCAGGAGGAACACCGAUGGCGAAGGCAGGUCUCUGGGCCACUACUGACGCUGAGAAGCGAAAGCAUGGGGAGCGAACAGGAUUAGAUACCCUGGUAGUCCAUGCCGUAAACGUUGGGCGCUAGGUGUGGGGCUCAUUCCACGAGUUCCGUGCCGCAGCUAACGCAUUAAGCGCCCCGCCUGGGGAGUACGGCCGCAAGGCUAAAACUCAAAGGAAUUGACGGGGGCCCGCACAAGCGGCGGAGCAUGCGGAUUAAUUCGAUGCAACGCGAAGAACCUUACCAAGGCUUGACAUACACCGGACACAUCCAGAGAUGGGUGCUUCUUCGGACUGGUGUACAGGUGGUGCAUGGUUGUCGUCAGCUCGUGUCGUGAGAUGUUGGGUUAAGUCCCGCAACGAGCGCAACCCUCGUUCUAUGUUGCCAGCACGUGAUGGUGGGGACUCAUAGGAGACUGCCGGGGUCAACUCGGAGGAAGGUGGGGAUGACGUCAAAUCAUCAUGCCCCUUAUGUCUUGGGCUUCACGCAUGCUAC
rnacentral:rRNA from 1 species